rnacentral:rRNA from 1 species
UAAGGAAUAUCGGUCAAUGGACGCAAGUCUGAACCAGCCAUGCCGCGUGGAGGAUUAAGGCCCUCUGGGUUGUAAACUCCUUUUAUCUGGGAAGAAAUGCCAAUUUUCUAAUUGGUUUGACGGUACCAGAGGAAUAAGCACCGGCUAACUCCGUGCCAGCAGCCGCGGUAAUACGGAGGGUGCAAGCGUUAUCCGGAUUCACUGGGUUUAAAGGGUGCGUAGGCGGGCAGGUAAGUCCGUGGUGAAAUCUCUGAGCUUAACUCAGAAACUGCCAUGGAUACUAUUUGUCUUGAAUACUGUGGAGGUGAGCGGAAUAUGUCAUGUAGCGGUGAAAUGCUUAGAUAUGACAUAGAACACCAAUUGCGAAGGCAGCUCACUACACAAAUAUUGACGCUGAGGCACGAAAGCGUGGGGAUCAAACAG